GAUGAACGCUGGCGGCGUGCCUAAUACAUGCAAGUCGAGCGAACAGAUGAGGAGCUUGCUCCUCUGACGUUAGCGGCGGACGGGUGAGUAACACGUGGAUAACCUACCUAUAAGACUGGGAUAACUUCGGGAAACCGGAGCUAAUACCGGAUAAUAUAUUGAACCGCAUGGUUCAAUAGUGAAAGACGGUUUUGCUGUCACUUAUAGAUGGAUCCGCGCCGCAUUAGCUAGUUGGUAAGGUAACGGCUUACCAAGGCAACGAUGCGUAGCCGACCUGAGAGGAUGAUCGGCCACACUGGAACUGAGACACGGUCCAGACUCCUACGGGAGGCAGCAGUAGGGAAUCUUCCGCAAUGGGCGAAAGCCUGACGGAGCAACGCCGCGUGAGUGAUGAAGGUCUUCGGAUCGUAAAACUCUGUUAUUAGGGAAGAACAAAUGUGUAAGUAACUAUGCACGUCUUGACGGUACCUAAUCAGAAAGCCACGGCUAACUACGUG
rnacentral:rRNA from 1 species